rnacentral:lncRNA from 1 species
CCCUGGGGAAGAGAAGCUGAGAGGAACUCCUCACUCAGCUAGCUUCAGGAGCCAUGACAUCAUCUCUACCAUGGAAAUUCCACUCACUCUCCUGUGCCCCCACAUUUGUCCUAGGCCUCAGAGUCCCUAUAAAGAGAGAUUCCCAACUCAGUAUCAGCACAGGACACAGCUAGGUUCUGAAGCUUCUGAGUUCUGCAGCCUCACCUCUGAGAAAACCUCUUUGCCACCAAUACCAUGAAGCUCUGCGUGACUGUCCUGUCUCUCCUCGUGCUAGUAGCUGCCUUCUGCUCUCUAGCACUCUCAGCACCAAAUUCCAAACCAAAAGAGGCAAGCAAGUCUGCGCUGACCCCAGUGAGUCCUGGGUCCAGGAGUACGUGUAUGACCUGGAACUGAACUGAGCUGCUCAGAGACAGGAAGUCUUCAGGGAAGGUCACCUGAGCCUGGAUGCUUCUCCAUGAGCCGCAUCUCCUCCAUACUCAGGACUCCUCUCCGCAGUUCCUGUCUCUUCUCUUAAUGUAAUCUCUUUUAUGUGCUGUAUUAUUGUAUUAGGUGUUAUUUCCAUUAUUUAUAUUAGUUUAGCCAAAGGAUAAGUGUCCCCUAUGGGGAUGGUCCACUCUCACUCUUUCUCUGCUGUUGCAAAUACAUGGAUAACACCGUUAAUUCCAUGUGUUUUCAUAAUAAAACUUUAAAAUAAAAUGCAAACAGUU